rnacentral:rRNA from 1 species
CCUACGGGCGGCAGCAGUGAGGAAUAUUGGUCAAUGGGCGCGAGCCUGAACCAGCCAAGUAGCGUGAAGGAUGACUGCCCUACGGGUUGUAAACUUCUUUUAUAAGGGAAUAAAGUGAGGCACGUGUGCCUUUUUGUAUGUACUUUAUGAAUAAGGAUCGGCUAACUCCGUGCCAGCAGCCGCGGUAAUACGGAGGAUACGAGCGUUAUCCGGAUUUAUUGGGUUUAAAGGGAGCGUAGGUGGGUUGUUAAGUCAGUUGUGAAAGUUUGGGGCUCAACCGUGAAAUUGCAAUUGAUCCUGGCAGGCUUGAGUACAGUUGAGGUAGGCAGAAUUCGUGGUGUAGCGGUGAAAUGCUUAGAGAUCACGAAGAACUCCGAUGGCGAAGGCAGCUCACUAAAC